AUUUGCACGUUUUUACCUGAACUCGUUAAUUCGUUGCACGGUGCCCCCUAAACUCAAUUUUCCGGCAAUUUUGACCGGAAUGUUAAAACAUGUGCUUUGCACGUGAGAUUUUGAGGGGUAAAUUCGUCCCUUCACUUGCAUUUUAAUAUUAAAUACAAAUAGAUAUUAAAAAAAAUAAAAAAUAAAAAAAAGGAAAAAGAAGCAUUUCAUCCAUCACCCACCUUCCUUACCAAACCCCAUCUAUCCCUGUAAAAAAAUUCUCAAAAACUAAUUUAAUAAAUUUCCAAAAUUUUCCGACUCUACAGUAUACGCUACCAAAAUACUGAUCAGAAACAAGAAUAUAACAUACAAAAAAAAUCGGAAAAAAAUAAAAAAAAAAUUCCGACGAAAAACUUACAGCUCUUAGCAAAGAUCUCCUAUCCCUCUCCCGAGCAUUCUUGAUUGCCUAAAGCAGCAAACAAUUGCGAUAAAAAACCCCCCUGUUAUUUCCGAAUACGGCCUGAAUCUACCGCCGACUUCCUGCAAUCACACACACACACACAAAUCGGAGAAAUUAGAUAUACAGAAAUUACAGAGAGGCGAGGUUUUAGUGUGUGUUUUUCGGAAAGAGAGAAGGUGGUCGAAGACUCGAUCGGCAAAUGGAGGAGGAAAGCGAGACAAGUAAUGGCAUCGGCGGCCGGUGGGUGACGGAAUUUUUUUGCUGGGAUGGGUUUGGGAUGGCGGUGGCACAGUGGGCGAAUGUGUGAAGAAGACAAAAUAUUUUUUUAUUUUCUGUUUUCUUUGUUUUGUUUUUAUUUUUUAUUUUUUUUGUUUUUUUAAAGAAUAAUUUAUAUUUAAUAUUAAAGAUGUAAGUGAAUGGACGAAUAUACCCCUGCAAAUGUCACGUGCAAGGCACAUGUUUUAACUUUUC